rnacentral:misc_RNA from 1 species
GCUACAGUUCCAUAAAAAAUAGAUUGUUUAAUUUGGGUGCAAAAAAACGGGUAAAAACCAACUCUUACAGCCUCCUAUACUCACGCCCUUUAAAUGCUGCCAACUCAUUCCGCCCAAUCUGGCAUCGCAGCACUUUUUGUCAUUUAACACUGUCAUGCGCCAGGUGCUAAAAUAGUAAUUUUUUAAAUGUUAACGUUUGCGCUGGUUUAACCGCCUUAUCGAUAUACCUACAUUCGGAAAUUGAACAGAAUCUUUAAAAGAAAACGCUUUUUGAAGCCUCAAAUUCAUAGAGGUGAGAGGAAAUAUAAUUUCUUCCAACCAACAAUAAGCAGGUAAAGAUGAGUAAAAAUUGCAAAAAGAGUCCUCGCUAUAUAAUCAACUGGGAAACGCAUGCCUCGAACUUACUGAAAAACUUCUGUUCGCUAAUGGAGCACCAAAGUUUAGUCGACAUCGUGCUUUGCUGCGGAAACAACACCAUUCAAGCCCACAAAUUCGUUUUGGCUGCUAACAGCCCCUUUUUCAGGGAAGAAUUUGAAAAAAAUCCUUCAAUUGAACAGAUUAUGAUCGGUGGGUGCGACUUUGCAGUGCUAAAAAGCGUAGUAGAAAUCAUGUACUGCGGCCAAACCCUAGUGAACGAGGACAAUGUGAAAUAUUUAGUGGCAAUAAUCAAGCUUUUUCAAAUGAAACACCUCGAAAAUCUGUUCACCGAACACGCCAGCUCUAGUGAGGCCUCCACUGGAGAAUUGGGCUUAUUAGCAAUUGACGCGCUUUUUCCAAUUACAGACGAGGACAUUUACUUGCCUAAACCGCAGUUUUUAACCAAAAAACCCAAAUAUCCCACCUUCUCAUGCCAACUGCCGCAUCCUCCUGCGGUACAGAAUAAUUCCAUUGAUGUUAAAGUAACACCUUCGCCUACGCCCAACAUCAGCCUCCCUCCAAAGUUGCUCAAACCAACUGACUUCAACGUUAAUGCCCCAGACGCAGUGGGCACCUUCAAGCCUUAUCCAAGAGAAAAACGCACGUUGAAACAACAAGCUGAACAGGCGUGCUUUAAAGAGGCGCAAGCCUCCAGAAUGGCAUUGGCUAGUCUGCAAAAACAAAUCGCUGCAGCACCUCAGGUAAGCAGCUUUAUUAUAGAAGACUCCUGCGCGGAAACCACUGUGGAAAAUUUCAUUCCACACCCAGAGCCCGUUCCUUUCGUGCAAAUUUUCGACUACGACGAUGAUAUCAGCGAAAAAAUGAAAAAUGGCAUGUUUCUGCCCGUUCCAGUGGCGCAACCCGCAAAUUCAUCAGCCCCCUUCAACACAAAUAACCAAAGAAACCAAACCGAGAAACGGUCUUUAACAGCAGACAAACUAAAAUACAUUUUGGGCUCGCACUUGCCCACGAACGUUGAAGUAAUGUACAAAGACGCUGAGGGAAAUUUCGUGCCUGUCAAUGAAGAAGUUCUACAAAAUCUAGCUAACAAAGAAGGCAAGUGCCUGUAAAUGGGCAUUCAUCUUCCAAUCUCUGUCUCUUGGCAGGUCUUCAAUACCAAGUGGUGGACGAAGAUGGACGGGUGAGCGAAAUGCAGGAGCUCCAAGUUAUCGAUAAAAUCGAGAAACUUAUCGGCAAUGUGGCGGAGGACGCCAAAUCAGAGGUGGAUCUCCUCGACAUCACCAAACCGUCCAUUGAAGUCAGCGAUUUUUUAAGUGAGAGCGAAAAUACUUUAACAAUCAAGAAUCAUUUAUGCUCAAUGAUGUCUUUGACUGGACAAGAAACGCAGUUUUCUUCUCGAGAAUUGUCGAAACUCAACACUGAAGUCGACCUGAAAUUCUCACCAGACAUUUUUUUUUCCGACAUUAUUCCGAAUGACCCUCAAGACGAAGUUACAGUGGUAGACGACAUUUUUGAAGAACCGUCCAAUGCGGAAAAACCUUAAAACACCAGUCACUAACUUGUAAGUUGUUUGUCUUUUCAAUAUCGGUUUAAGGCAUUUUUUUCGAUCUAUUUUGCAUCUCAACCUGAUAUGCAUAAACGUCGCAAUUUGAAAUAGGAAAUACCUAAACAAAGUAAAAUUAUUUUCCAUUAGUUUUACUCUAUAAACAUUAUCAAUGUAAUAACAACUUCAUAAUAUAUUACCUUUCAAAGAAAACCUCUUACAUAAAGACUAAAAAUCUAAUAUAACGUGAAUAGAUGUGAAUUUACAGCAUGAUCAACCUAAAAUUUCAUGUUAAAUGAGUUUUUCAUUGAGAUUGCCUCACCAAUUGUCACAAAAUAAACGCGUACACAUUCAGUCAAUAGCUUUUAUAAAUAGUUACGUGAAACAUUAAACAAAGCUAUCAAACUUCACAAAAAAAUGCCAGAAAACAUCGUUGCUUAUAAUCGGAAAACUAUCCAAUUAAAAUAGCACUAUGAUUAAUUGAAUGUAAAAAGUAGGGCUUUUAGGCACUAGUAUAUAUGAAGAAACGUGAAAACUGAAGUUCGGCAAUCUCCAAGAAAUGCAUAUUUAGUCGAGCAAAGAAAGUGAUAAAAAGGUAGAAAUUGGCCCAAACAAUAUGCACUCCGGAAAACCUCAAUGCUUCUGUUCUUAAUUGUACAUUUUGUACUAUAAUUUUAAAUUCACAAAAUCAUUUAAAAUUCGGUGUAUAGUCGACUUUGCUCCGCUAAAAAAAA